rnacentral:rRNA from 1 species
CCUACGGGAGGCAGCAGUGGGGAAUAUUGGACAAUGGGCGAAAGCCUGAUCCAGCAAUGCCGCGUGAGUGAUGAAGGCCUUAGGGUUGUAAAGCUCUUUUACCAGGGAUGAUAAUGACAGUACCUGGAGAAUAAGCUCCGGCUAACUCCGUGCCAGCAGCCGCGGUAAUACGGAGGGAGCUAGCGUUGUUCGGAAUUACUGGGCGUAAAGAGUACGUAGGCGGUUAUUCAAGUCAGAGGUGAAAGCCCGGGGCUCAACCCCGGAACUGCCUUUGAAACUAGAUAGCUAGAGUCUUGGAGAGGUUAGUGGAAUUCCGAGUGUAGAGGUGAAAUUCGUAGAUAUUCGGAAGAACACCAGUGGCGAAGGCGACUAACUGGACAAGUACUGACGCUGAGGUACGAAAGCGUGGGGAGCAAACAGGAUUAGAUACCCUGGUAGUCCACGCCGUAAACGAUGAUAACUAGUUGUUCGGGCACUUGGUGCCUGAGUGACGCAGCUAACGCAUUAAGUUAUCCGCCUGGGGAGUACGGUCGCAAGAUUAAAACUCAAAGGAAUUGACGG